UAUUUGGAGAGGACUGAACCCCACCUCAUAGUCAUUUGGCAAAGUUUAUGUCUCUGGGUGAAGUAACAGAAGGGGUGGCAGAGCAGCCUGGCAUCUUUCAUUUGGGCCAAUAAUGCUUGACUGAGGCAUGGUGAGGAAGAAGCUUGGGGCCAUUAAAAGAGCUGUUUAAUUUCCCAAAGAAAACCAGGUGGAGCAUUGGCACUUUGGUGCACAGUGGAGUUGCCUGUGAAAUGUCCCGAUAUCCAUGGCUUCCUUGCUCUCUUUUGCCAUUUUUGUCCAGGUGGAUGGAGGGUGAUGUUAAUCAUGACUGUGAGAAGAAGUGGUGGCUGGUGGGGACAGAAACUCCAUUGACAUAUUCUGGAAUAUUCCCUCAAGCUCAGAGACUACUUUUUUCUGGAAGGCAAGUUGUGAUGACAUUUAUUUAACCAAUAUUUGC